rnacentral:lncRNA from 1 species
AUUACAUUUGACAAACUCUUAUUGUGAAAGCCAAAGUCUCUUCUCUUGAUCCGUAUCUAAAGUUGGUAUCUAGCGCCAUCUAGUAGACAAGAGCAUGAUUCUUCAAAAAUCAGGGUUCUCUUUGAUUUUGUGCGAUCACUUGUCCUCCACAGGCUCAGGCUGUGACUCUGACAGUUGCACAAGCUUUCAAAGUAGCUCUGGAUCUGUGGGAGAUCGCACAGGAAGGUGUAGUUUUUUGCCCUUUGUCGAUAUAGACAAAAGUAAGAAAACCCGCACACGCUACACCUGUUCAGACCCUGAAUCUCAUCCUGAAUCUGAAGCAAACAGUGUUUCAGAGGAGGAGAAGACUCAAGCUCUGAUGGAGCACAAACUUAGGAAGCCCUUCUUCCCUUCCUUCCUUUCACCAUCUCCACGCAGCAAAGCUAGGAGACGACCAAUCAAACAUGACUCCUGGGAUAAAAUAUGGCUGAAAUGCAAGGCAGUCUUUCUGGUAACCUGAAUGGCACUAGUUCAUAUUUUUCAGGAUGCGGAAGAUGGCCUCGAUGAUGCGUUUUCAAGGUAAGUUUGUGUUCCUUUCUGCUCACACAUAGUCGACCUGUCUCAGAAAUCAGAGAUUGAUCAUACAGGAUAGUGUUUUUGUGCUUUAAAAUACACUCAC